rnacentral:rRNA from 1 species
UAUGUGAUCGUCUCUCGCAUAUCAAUAAGCGGAGGAAAAGAAACUAACAAGGAUUCCCCUAGUAACGGCGAGUGAAGCGGGAAGAGCUCAAAUUUGAAAUCUUAAAGGGUUUCCCUUUACGAAUUGUAGUUUAAAGAAGUGUUUUCUGUUGAGGUUUUGGUAAAAGUUCUUUGGAAUAGGACAUCAUAGAGGGUGAGAAUCCCGUAUUUGACCUUUACUUUCAACUUUGUGAUACACUUUCAAAGAGUCGGAUUGUUUGGGAAUGCAGUCCAAAAUGGGUGGUAAAUUUCAUCUAAAGCUAAAUAUUGGCGAGAGACCGAUAGCGAACAAGUACCGUGAGGGAAAGAUGAAAAGAACUUUGAAAAGAGAGUUAAACAGUACGUGAAAUUGUCAAAAGGGAAGCGUUUGACACCAGUGUUGUUUUCUGAAAAUCAAUUAAAGAACUGUUUAUGCUAAGUUGUUUAGACUUUAUCAGCUAACUGUUUAGUUUUGAGCUUUUCUUUAAUGCACUUUUCAGUUAACAAGUCAACAUCAAUUUCUUUUGCUGUAAAAAAGCUUGAGGAAGGUGGCUUGAGAUUCGUCUUAAGUGUUUAUAGCCUCUUGCCUAUGCAGUCGGAGAGAUUGAGGUCUGCAGCGUAGAUCCUUCGGGGCUAAAUGCAUUUGUGCUAAGUUAUAGCAUUUUAUAGACAACUUGUUGACUAUGAUUUGUCUUGUAGCUUACUCGCUUAUGUUAUUUUACCUACGCUUAGGAUGUUGAAGUCAUCGUAUCGCG